GUUUUUUUUUUUUGUAAAACUUCCUUUUCUUUUAUGGUAAAACCUCCGUUAUUUUGAUGAAACCAACCUCAAAUUAAUUUUUAUCAGUAAAAGCAGAUGGAUUGCUAGCUGUGCGGCUAGCUGUGCGAUUGACAUCAAAAUUCACAAAGCCGCGGCAGCUCAAAAUCAUCUCUUCAGUUACGGCAAACACGUGACUCGCCGUUCGUUCUAGAUCCACCAUUGAAGUGUGUCUCUUCAGAUUCGGGAAUCUUGGAAUGUGAAGAAAUCCGGUGAAUUUAUGUAUGCUUCUCCUUGAUGGAAAAUUAAUUCCGUUACUUUGUCGAAGACAAAAAGAAAGGAAGGGAGGGAGCACAAGGAGAGUGUUGUUAAUUGAAACAGAGAGGCUGUCAAGAAAUAUAGUUCUGAAUAUGCUUUCUCUUUUGAAAACAUGAGAAAUAUCAAAUUCAAGGAGUUCAGACAACAAUAUAGACACAAUGGAAGGCUCAAACAAAGUGAUGCAGGUUGUCUUGGUCAUUCUGCUUCUGAUGAAAUCCGUCAUGCCAUCUUUAGAGCCUCAAGCUGCUUUAUGGUGAUGCUGGACUUCUUAUUGCAGAUAUGCCAAAUGAAGAGGUUGAAAAGGACUUAUGCUGUAUCCAUCUCUCUCUUGGCUUUCCCGUAUCUUCAAAAUUCUUCUUUUGGUUAUUAUCGCAGCUUAUUUAACGCGAUGACUUAUUUAACGCUUCUGAAAGUUCAGAAUUUUCAAGGACUAGAAGCACUGCAGUAGAAACGGCUUGUUGGCUUUUCCUGAUACUACUUCUGGAACACACUUCUAUUUUGACAAUGAAUGUCUCACCGGCCAGAGUUUUCUAGCAGCGUAAGAGAUUCCAUACUAACUGUUGUUUAUGAAAUCUUAUACACGCUGUU